rnacentral:tRNA from 1 species
GCGGGGGUUGCCAAGCCAGGUCAAAGGCGCGAGAUCAAGAACUGCGAUCGGACGCGAUGCUCAGAUCGGCUCUGUGAGAAACCUCGUCUCUUAGGGGUUCGUGGGUUCAAAUCCCACCCCCCGCA